GCCAGGCGUGGUGGCACGUGCCUAUAGUCCAGCUACUCGGGAGGCUGAGGCUGGAAGAUCGCUUGAGCCCGGGAGUUCUAGACUGUAGUGCGCUAUGCCGAUGGAGUGUCCACACUAAGUUCGGCAUCAAUAUGGUGACCUCCUGGGAGCGGGGGACCACCAGGUUGCCUAAGGAGGGGCGAACCGGAGGCCCAGGUCAGAAAUGGAGCAGGUCAAAAUUCCGGUGCUGAUCAGUAGUGGAAUCGAGCCUGUGAAUAGCCACUGCACUCCAGCCUGGGCAACAUAGCGAGACCUCGUCUCU
rnacentral:SRP_RNA from 1 species